CCUACGGGAGGCAGCAGUGAGGAAUAUUGGUCAAUGGGCGCUAGCCUGAACCAGCCAAGUAGCGUGAAGGAUGACUGCCCUAUGGGUUGUAAACUUCUUUUAUAUGGGAAUAAAGUGCAUUAUGUAUACUGCUUUGAAUGUACCUUAUGAAUAAGGAUCGGCUAACUCCGUGCCAGCAGCCGCGGUAAUACGGAGGAUCCGAGCGUUAUCCGGAUUUAUUGGGUUUAAAGGGAGCGUAGGCGGGUUGUUAAGUCAGUUGUGAAAGUUUGGGGCUCAACCGUAAAAUUGCAGUUGAUACUGGCAGACUUGAGUAUAGUAGAGGUAGGCGGAAUGCGUGGUGUAGCGGUGAAAUGCUUAGAUAUCACGAAGAACUCCGAGUGCGAAGGCAGCCUGCUGGACUGUAACUGACGCUGAGGCUCGAAAGUGUGGGUAUCAAACAGGAUUAGAUACCCGUGUAGUC
rnacentral:rRNA from 1 species